rnacentral:ncRNA from 1 species
UUAAAGAUUAUGAUAAGGAAAAGUAAACAAAUUACAGUUAAAAGAGAUAGAAAUCCAAGGCUGAAAGAUUUCUUUGAUAUGAGUUGUUGAAAACCACCUUAGAGUUAUAUGCUGAACUAAGUAAGCAUUUUCGCAUAUCUGCGUUAUGGAUUUGAGUGAAAGGUAAUACAGGAAAGCAUUUGUAUUGUACUGCCUUUAAAUUGGGUGGAAACACGGUAAGCUCGUCCCAUAU